AAAACGCAAUAGUUUCUCAUCACUGAUUACGGAGUGAUAAGAUAAUUACAAGAAUAGAAUGAUAAAGAACAGCAAACAAAUUCUGCAAAUGUCUUGAUCGAUCCGUCUAAGCAUUCUACUGGAGGGGCGGCCAGUUGAUCGACAUAAGCAAACAUGUGGCGGCAAGAAUAUCAGCAAUUUUGAGUCUAAAACAAUGGAAACUUUCCUACUCUUCUUGCGAAGAUGUAAAAAACUGCAAGAACAUGGGCCGGCCUUAGUCCAUGUUGACACGAGCUAUUAUUUGCCUUUCGAGUUUGCUCCUCCCUGAAAGGCCUCUCGCUCUCACUUGGAUUGUCGGUCAAAAAGCGGAACAAAAGCUUAAACAUCCUUGGUUAUCAACAGAGUAAAACUUUGAGAUAGAAAAUAAUUACCGCCGGGGGGGCGGUGUUGCUG
rnacentral:misc_RNA from 1 species